UACGUAGGGAGCAAGCGUUGUCCGGAUUUAUUGGGCGUAAAGAGCUCGUAGGCGGCUUAGAAAGUCAGGUGUGAAACCUCCAGGCUCAACCUGGAGACGCCACUUGAUACUUCUAUGGCUUGAGUUCGGUAGGGGACCACGGAAUUCCUGGUGUAGCGGUGAAAUGCUUAGAUAUCAGGAGGAACACCGAUGGCGAAGGCAGUGGUCUGGGCCGAUACUGACGCUGAGGAGCGAAAGCGUGGGGAGCGAACAGG
rnacentral:rRNA from 1 species